rnacentral:tRNA from 1 species
GCCGACAUAGCUCAGUUGGUAGAGCAGCUGAUUCGUAAUCAGCAGGUCAGCGGUUCAAGUCCGCUUGUCGGCUCCA